rnacentral:rRNA from 1 species
AUUGGCAUGGGCGCAGCCUGAUGCAGCAACGCCGCGUGAGCGAUGAAGGCCUUCGGGUUGUAAAGCUCUGUCUUCGCUGAAGAUAAUGACGGUAAGCGAGGAGGAAGCCACGGCUAACUACGUGCCAGCAGCCGCGGUAAUACGUAGGUGGCAAGCGUUGUCCGGA